rnacentral:rRNA from 1 species
GUGGGGAAUAUUGGACAAUGGGGGGAACCCUGAUCCAGCCAUGCCGCGUGUGUGAAGAAGGCCUUUUGGUUGUAAAGCACUUUAAGUUGGGAGGAAGGGCAGUAAGUUAAUACCUUGCUGUUUUGACGUUACCGACAGAAUAAGCACCGGCUAACUCUGUGCCAGCAGCCGCGGUAAUACAGAGGGUGCAAGCGUUAAUCGGAUUUACUGGGCGUAAAGCGCGCGUAGGUGGCCAAGUAAGUCAAAUGUGAAAUCACCGAGCUUAACUUGGGAAUUGCAUUCGAUACUGGUUGGCUAGAGUAUGGGAGAGGAUGGUAGAAUUCCAGGUGUGGCGGUGAAAUGCGUAGACAUCUGGAGGAAUACCGAUGGCGAAGGCAGCCAUCUGGCCUAAUACUGACACUGAGGUGCGAAAGCAUGGAGAGCAAACAGGAUUAGAUACCCCGGUAGUCC